rnacentral:rRNA from 1 species
UACAGGGGGUGCGAGCGUUAAUCGGAAUUACUGGGUGUAAAGGGCGCGUAGGCGGCGUGGCGUGUGUGGUGUGAAAGCCCCGGGCUUAACCUGGGAAGCGCACUGCGGACUGCCGUGCUGGAGUAUGUGAGAGGGUGGCGGAAUUUCCGGUGUAGCGGUGAAAUGCGUAGAGAUCGGAAGGAACGUCAAUGGCGAAGGCAGCCACCUGGCACAAUACUGACGCUGAGGCGCGAAAGCGUGGGGAGCGAACAGG